rnacentral:misc_RNA from 1 species
UAUGUGUUAUGUCCCCUUUUGUUGCUUGUUUCAAUUUCUGAUUGCAAUUUUUUUGCCCUUUCCUUUUGUGAUUUUCAUUUUUUAAAAAAUCUAAGUUAUCUGCCAAAACGCUCCAUGUGUAUCUGCAUAAGGGUCUCCUCUGUUUUUGUUCUGUGACAUUGGUUUUUUCUGCUCUCUCUCUCUCUUUCCAAUCUUUUUAAUAGCU